GCGAAAACUUUACAAUGCUGGCAACAGCGAUAAGGGAACCUCGAGUGCCAGGUUACAAAUCUGGCUGUCGAGAUGCCUAAAAAGCAUUUCAUAGCAAGGGCCGGGCAAGACCGGUGCCAGCCGCCGCGGUAACACCGGCGGCUCGAGUGGUAACCGUUAUUAUUGGGUCUAAAGGGUCUGUAGCCGGCCGGAUAAGUCUCUUGAGAAAUCUGGCAGCUUAACUGUCAGGCUUUCAGGAGAUACUGUCUGGCUCGAGGCCGGGAGAGGUGAGAGGUACUUCAGGGGUAGGGGUGAAAUCUUGUAAUCCUUGAAGGACCACCAGUGGCGAUGGCGUCUCGCCAGAACGGACCUGACGGCAAGGGACGAAAGCUAGGGGCACUAACC
rnacentral:rRNA from 1 species